AUUGAACGCUGGCGGCAGGCCUAACACAUGCAAGUCGAGCGGAUGAAGGGAGCUUGCUCCUGGAUUCAGCGGCGGACGGGGGAGUAAUGCCUAGGAAUCUGCCUGGUAGUGGGGGAUAACGUCCUGAAACGGGCGCUAAUACCGCAUACGUCCUGAGGGAGAAAGUGGGGGAUCUUCGGACCUCACGCUAUCAGAUGAGCCUAGGUCGGAUUAGCUAGUUGGUGGGGUAAAGGCCUACCAAGGCGACGAUCCGUAACUGGUCUGAGAGGAUGAUCAGUCACACUGGAACUGAGACACGGUCCAGACUCCUACGGGAGGCAGCAGUGGGGAAUAUUGGACAAUGGGCGAAAGCCUGAUCCAGCCAUGCCGCGUGUGUGAAGAAGGUCUUCGGAUUGUAAAGCACUUUAAGUUGGGAGGAAGGGCAGUAAGUUAAUACCUUGCUGUUUUGACGUUACCAACAGAAUAAGCACCGGCUAACUUCGUG
rnacentral:rRNA from 1 species